UACAGAGGUGGCAAACGUUGUCCGGAUUUAUUGGGUGUAAAGGGCAUGUAGGUGGUUUUGUGAGUCAAAGGUGAAAUGGCCCGGCUCAACCAGGUCAUUGCCUUUGAAACUGCAGGACUUGAGUACGGAAGAGGAAAGCGGAAUUCCCAGUGUAGCUGUGAAAUGCGUAGAUAUGGGGAGGAACACCGGUGGCGAAGGCGGCUUUCUGGUCCGAAACUGACACCGAGAUGCGAAAGCCAGGGGAGCAAACGGG
rnacentral:rRNA from 1 species